rnacentral:rRNA from 2 species
GUCGAACGCGUUGGCCCAAUUGAUUGAUGGUGCUUGCACCUGAUUGAUUUUGGUCGCCAACGAGUGGCGGACGGGUGAGUAACACGUAGGUAACCUGCCCAGAAGCGGGGGACAACAUUUGGAAACAGAUGCUAAUACCGCAUAACAGCGUUGUUCGCAUGAACAACGCUUAAAAGAUGGCUUCUCGCUAUCACUUCUGGAUGGACCUGCGGUGCAUUAGCUUGUUGGUGGGGUAACGGCCUACCAAGGCGAUGAUGCAUAGCCGAGUUGAGAGACUGAUCGGCCACAAUGGGACUGAGACACGGCCCAUACUCCUACGGGAGGCAGCAGUAGGGAAUCUUCCACAAUGGGCGCAAGCCUGAUGGAGCAACACCGCGUGAGUGAAGAAGGGUUUCGGCUCGUAAAGCUCUGUUGUUAAAGAAGAACACGUAUGAGAGUAACUGUUCAUACGUUGACGGUAUUUAACCAGAAAGUCACGGCUAACUACGUGCCAGCAGCCGCGGUAAUACGUAGGUGGCAAGCGUUAUCCGGAUUUAUUGGGCGUAAAGAGAGUGCAGGCGGUUUUCUAAGUCUGAUGUGAAAGCCUUCGGCUUAACCGGAGAAGUGCAUCGGAAACUGGAUAACUUGAGUGCAGAAGAGGGUAGUGGAACUCCAUGUGUAGCGGUGGAAUGCGUAGAUAUAUGGAAGAACACCAGUGGCGAAGGCGGCUACCUGGUCUGCAACUGACGCUGAGACUCGAAAGCAUGGGUAGCGAACAGGAUUAGAUACCCUGGUAGUCCAUGCCGUAAACGAUGAGUGCUAGGUGUUGGAGGGUUUCCGCCCUUCAGUGCCGGAGCUAACGCAUUAAGCACUCCGCCUGGGGAGUACGACCGCAAGGUUGAAACUCAAAGGAAUUGACGGGGGCCCGCACAAGCGGUGGAGCAUGUGGUUUAAUUCGAAGCUACGCGAAGAACCUUACCAGGUCUUGACAUCUUGCGCCAACCCUAGAGAUAGGGCGUUUCCUUCGGGAACGCAAUGACAGGUGGUGCAUGGUCGUCGUCAGCUCGUGUCGUGAGAUGUUGGGUUAAGUCCCGCAACGAGCGCAACCCUUGUUACUAGUUGCCAGCAUUAAGUUGGGCACUCUAGUGAGACUGCCGGUGACAAACCGGAGGAAGGUGGGGACGACGUCAGAUCAUCAUGCCCCUUAUGACCUGGGCUACACACGUGCUACAAUGGACGGUACAACGAGUCGCGAACUCGCGAGGGCAAGCAAAUCUCUUAAAACCGUUCUCAGUUCGGACUGCAGGCUGCAACUCGCCUGCACGAAGUCGGAAUCGCUAGUAAUCGCGGAUCAGCAUGCCGCGGUGAAUACGUUCCCGGGCCUUGUACACACCGCCCGUCACACCAUGAGAGUUUGUAACACCCAAAGUCGGUGGGGUAACC